rnacentral:lncRNA from 1 species
GCUGCGUGAGCCAACAGUGGCAACUUGUUCGGGUAUCCUUCCCCAGUGUGGAAGCUUUAGUUCUUUUGCUCUUUGCAAUGAAUCUUGCUGCUGCUCACUCUUUGGGUCCACGCUGCGUUUACACUGUGUUUAUGAGCUGUAACACUCACCACAAAGGUCUGCAGCUUCACUCCUGAAGCCAGCAAAGACCACGAACCCACCAGGAAGAAGGAACAACUCCAGACACGCAGCCUUAAGAGCUGUAACACUCACUGCCAAGGUCUUCAGCUUCACUCCUGAGCCAGCCAGACCAUGAACCCACCAGAAGGAAAAAACUCGGAACACAUCCCAACAUCAGAAGGAACAAACUCUGGACAUGCCGCCUUUAAGAACUGUAACAACGCAAGGGUCCGCGGCUUUAUUCUUGAAGUCAGUAAGACCAAGAACCCAAUUCCGGACACGUUUGGACCAUGGAAAGGCAGCUCAACAUCUGAGAAGCCAGUCUUACUCCCUGCAGGCAACAGCUGCUUCCAGAAAACAGCCCUAUUACUUCACCAAAGUACAGUUCCUACAGGAAGAUAAUGAUCUGACCUAACCUACUAUUGGCUGAAGGAAGGAGAAAAGCAGCUGAAGAUGUCUGUUGAGUGAUUACCCUCAUAAUCCGUGACUAAGAACAUCCAAAUCAGCAUGGCUUCUUCCUGUCUGAAAUUAUUACUACUUAGGGUUUUUCACGUGUUAUUUCAUUUAUUGAUUAUUCUGUUUUAAACUUGCAAGACGUAUUGUCUCUUCAGAAAUAAAACUUUAUCACUUGCUUCAUCAAUUCAA